rnacentral:rRNA from 1 species
AUUGAACGCUGGCGGCAGGCCUAACACAUGCAAGUCGAGCGGAUGAAGGGAGCUUGCUCCUGGAUUCAGCGGCGGACGGGUGAGUAAUGCCUAGGAAUCUGCCUGGUAGUGGGGGAUAACGUCCGGAAACGGGCGCUAAUACCGCAUACGUCCUGAGGGAGAAAGUGGGGGAUCUUCGGACCUCACGCUAUCAGAUGAGCCUAGGUCGGAUUAGCUAGUUGGUGGGGUAAAGGCCUACCAAGGCGACGAUCCGUAACUGGUCUGAGAGGAUGAUCAGUCACACUAGAACUUGGACACGGUCCCGGCUCCUGCGGGAGGGAGCAGUGGGGAAUAUUGGGCAAUGGGCGGAAACCUUGUCCAACCAUGGCGCGUGUGUGAAAGAGGUCUUCGGAUUGUAAAGCCCUUUUAGUUGGGAGGAAGGGCAGUAAGUUAAUACCUUGCUGUUUUGACGUUACCAACAGAAUAAGCACCGGCUAACUUCGUG